GCCUUCGUGGUGUAAUGGUCAGCACACUGAGCCGGUAUUUCAGAGGUCCGUGGUUCGAUUCCUGGCCAAGGAA
rnacentral:tRNA from 1 species